CUACGGGGGGCAGCAGUGGGGAAUAUUGCACAAUGGAGGAAACUCUGAUGCAGCAACGCCGCGUGGAGGAUGACACUUUUCGGAGCGUAAACUCCUUUUAUAUAGGAAGGAGAUGACGGUACUAUAUGAAUAAGCGCCGGCUAACUCCGUGCCAGCAGCCGCGGUAAUACGGAGGGCGCAAGCGUUACUCGGAAUCACUGGGCGUAAAGAGCGUUAGGCGGAUUAAAAAGUCAGAAGUGAAAUCCUAUAGCUUAACUAUAGAACUGCUUCUGAAACUCUUAAUCUAGAAUAUGGGAGAGGUAGAUGGAAUUUCUGGUGUAGGGGUAAAAUCCGUAGAGAUCAGAAGGAAUACCGAUUGCGAAGGCGAUCUACUAGAACAUUAUUGACGCUGAGACGCGAAAGCGUGGGGAGCAAACAGGAUUAGAUACCCUAGUAGUC
rnacentral:rRNA from 1 species